GAUGAAGAACGCAGUGAAAUGCGAUAAGUAGUGUGAAUUGCAGAAUUCAGUGAAUCAUCGAAUCUUUGAACGCACAUUGCGCCCCCUGGUAUUCCGGGGGGCACGCCUGUCCGAGCGUCAUUGCUGCCCUCAAGCACGGCUUGUGUGUUGGGCCUCCGUCCUCCUCCCGGGGGACGGGCCCGAAAGGCAGCGGCGGCACCGCGUCCGGUCCUCGAGCGUAUGGGGCUUCGUCACCCGCUCUUGUAGGCCCGGCCGGCGCUUGCCGACACAUCAAUCUUUUUUCCAGGUUGACCUCGGAUCAGGUAGGGAUACCCGCUGAACUUAAGCAUAUCAAUAAGAGGAGGA
rnacentral:misc_RNA from 1 species